ACGGAGGGUGCGAGCGUUGUCCGGAAUCACUGGGCGUAAAGGGCGCGUAGGCGGUUCGGUAAGUUGCUGGUGAAAUCCCGGGGCUCAACUCCGGGGCUGCCGGCAAGACUGCCGGACUCGAGCACGGUAGAGGCAGAUGGAAUUCCCGGUGUAGCGGUGGAAUGCGUAGAUAUCGGGAAGAACACCCAUGGCGAAGGCAGCUCUCUGGGACGGUACUGACGCUGAGACGCGAAAGCCAGGGGAGCAAACG
rnacentral:rRNA from 1 species